rnacentral:misc_RNA from 1 species
GAUGAAGAACGUAGCGAAAUGCGAUACGUGAUGUGAAUUGCAAAUUCAGUGAAUCAUCGAGUCUUUGAACGCACAUUGCGCCCCCUGGUAUUCCGGGGGGCAUGCCUGUCCGAGCGUCAUUGCUGCCCUCAAGCACGGCUUGUGUGUUGGGCCCCGUCCUCCGAUCCCGGGGGACGGGCCCGAAAGGCAGCGGCGGCACCGCGUCCGGUCCUCGAGCGUAUGGGGCUUUGUCACCCGCUCUGUAGGCCCGGCCGGCGCUUGCCGAUCAACCCAAAUUUUUAUCCAGGUUGACCUCGGAUCAGGUAGGGAUACCCGCUGAACUUAAGCAUAUCAAUAAGCGGAGGA